GGCGUAAGAGCUCGUAGGCGGUUUGUCGCGUCUGCUGUGAAAACUGGAAGCUCAACUUCCAGCCUGCAAUGGGUACGGGCAGACUAGAGUGCGGUAGGGGAGAACGGAAUUCCUGGUGUAGCGGUGGAAUGCGCAGAUAUCAGGAGGAACACCGAUGGCGAAGGCAGUUCUCUGGGCCGUUACUGACGCUGAGGAGCGAAAGCGUGGGGAGCGAACAGGAUUAGAUACCCUGGUAGUCCACGCCGUAAACGGUGGGUGCUAGCUGUGGGCCACAUUCCACGUGGUCCGUGACGAAGUUAACACAUCAAGCACCCCGCCUGGGGAGUACGGCCGCAAGGCUAAAACUCAAAGGAAUUGACGGGGGCCCGCACAAGCGGCGGAGCAUGCGGAUUAAUUCGAUGCAACGCGAAGAACCUUACCAAGGCUUGACAUAUAGAGGAAAAGUGCAGAAAUGUACUCCCCGUAAGGUCUCUAUACAGGUGGUGCAUGGUUGUCGUCAGCUCGUGUCGUGAGAUGUUGGGUUAAGUCCCGCAACGAGCGCAACCCUCGUCCUAUGUUGCCAGCACGUAAUGGUGGGAACUCAUGGGAUACUGCCGGGGUCAACUCGGAGGAAGGU
rnacentral:rRNA from 1 species